AGUAUAUACAAGUAUAGUUUGUCCGCGUUUUUCCUUUUCCUACCUUUUGGUUACUUGAGUAUCGGUGACUGACUUCUUUAUACAAUCCACGAUACCUAUACAAUCAGCUUGAGGUACGGAACACCCUGUAUCAUCUUCAGAAUCAUCGCAUGGAUCUGUGUGUGGAGAACGAAGGCUCCCGUGAGUUUGACAGGCUUUCAUCGUUUUACAAUGCUCUGCUUCGUCAUCUCUAAUGUUCAUGAAUACGUCAUAGAGAUUAUCUAUUUUUGGUCUUCGAGUAUUAGGCUCUCGUGAAGUUUGAAACUCAUCAAAUAAAUAUAAGUCACCUCCCGUGUAGUAGUCCACUGCAAUCUUUGGAGCGGGCAAAUUCUUCAAUUCCUCUCCUUGAUCCUUGAUGAAUUUAUCGUAAGUCUCGUAUGCAUGGCUCUCCACACAUUCAGAGAAAUGAUAUGCCAUUCUCGGGCUCAAAGCAUACAUCAAGACUGUCAUGAAAUAAUAGAAUAUAGCUAUAUGUUGUGCAAGAAAUCGAUCAAACCACCAAGCAUUUCCCCCUAAUUCUUCCAUAAUGAGCAAAUGGUGCAUCUCAUUCCAGCUUUCAGCAAAAUGCACUUUCAUAUAAUCUGCCCUUCUCCACCAGCCAAAGCUCUCAUACAUGUGAAGAACCGAUAUAAAUGCAAAAUAAGGAACCCUUGCAAUUGUUUCCAGAACAAAAAACCUCGCAUAGUUUCGGUUGUGAUACAAAGUGUCAAGAAUCUUUAUCACUGAAUCCGU
rnacentral:misc_RNA from 1 species